rnacentral:rRNA from 2 species
UGAGGAAUAUUGGUCAAUGGACGCAAGUCUGAACCAGCCAUGUCGCGUGAAGGAUGACUGUCCUAUGGAUUGUAAACUUCUUUUAUAUGGGGAUAAAGUGUGAGACUUGUCUCAUUUUGCAUGUACCAUAUGAAUAAGCAUCGGCUAACUCCGUGCCAGCAGCCGCGGUAAUACGGAGGAUGCGAGCGUUAUCCGGAUUUAUUGGGUUUAAAGGGUGCGUAGGCGGGAUUUUAAGUCAGUGGUGAAAGUUUGCGGCUCAACCGUAAAAUUGCCAUUGAAACUGAAGUUCUUGAUUGCAGUAGAGGUAGGCGGAAUGUGUAGUGUAGCGGUGAAAUGCUUAGAUAUUACACAGAACACCAAUUGCGAAGGCAGCUUACUGGAGUGUAAAUGACGCUGAGGCACGAAAGCGUGGGUAUCAAACAGG